AUUGAACGCUGGCGGCAGGCCUAACACAUGCAAGUCGAGCGGGAACUUCGGUUCUAGCGGCGGACGGGUGAGUAAUGCGUAGGAAGCUACCCGACAGAGGGGGAUACCAGUUGGAAACGACUGUUAAUACCGCAUAAUGUCUACGGACCAAAGUGUGGGACCUUCGGGCCACAUGCUGUCGGAUGCGCCUACGUGGGAUUAGCUAGUUGGUGAGGUAAUGGCUCACCAAGGCGACGAUCCCUAGCUGGUUUGAGAGGAUAAUCAGCCACACUGGAACGGGAACACGGACAAGACUCCUGCGGGAGGCAGCAGUGGGGAAUAUUGGCCAAUGGGCGAAAGCCUGAUCCAGCCAUGCCGCGUGUGUGAAGAAGGCCUUCGGGUUGUAAAGCACUUUCAGUAGGGAGGAAGAGUUGAGUGUUAAUAGUACUCAGCUUUGACGUUACCUACAGAAGAAGCACCGGCUAACUCUGUGCCAGCAGCCGCCGUAACAC
rnacentral:rRNA from 1 species